ACCCUUUAAUGUUUGAUGUUCUAACGUGGACCCGUAAUCCGGGUUGCGGACAGUGUCUGGUGGGUAGUUUGACUGGGGCGGUCUCCUCCUAAAGAGUAACGGAGGAGCACGAAGGUUGGCUAAUCCUGGUCGGACAUCAGGAGGUUAGUGCAAUGGCAUAAGCCAGCUUGACUGCGAGCGUGACGGCGCGAGCAGGUGCGAAAGCAGGUCAUAGUGAUCCGGUGGUUCUGAAUGGAAGGGCCAUCGCUCAACGGAUAAAAGGUACUCCGGGGAUAACAGGCUGAUACCGCCCAAGAGUUCAUAUCGACGGCGGUGUUUGGCACCUCGAUGUCGGCUCAUCACAUCCUGGGGCUGAAGUAGGUCCCAAGGGUAUGGCUGUUCGCCAUUUAAAGUGGUACGCGAGCUGGGUUUAGAACGUCGUGAGACAGUUCGGUCCCUAUCUGCCGUGGGCGCUGGAGAACUGAGGGGGGCUGCUCCUAGUACGAGAGGACCGGAGUGGACGCAUCACUGGUGUUCGGGUUGUCAUGCCAAUGGCACUGCCCGGUAGCUAAAUGCGGAAGAGAUAAGUGCUGAAAGCAUCUAAGCACGAAACUUGCCCCGAGAUGAGUUCUCCCUGAGACUUUAGGUCUCCUGAAGGAACGUUGAAGACGACGACGUUGAUAGGCCGGGUGUGUAAGCGCAGCGAU
rnacentral:rRNA from 1 species